rnacentral:rRNA from 1 species
ACGUGAAACCUUGUGGGAAGCAGGGAGGACCACCUCCCAAGGCUAAAUACUACCUGAUGACCGAUAGUGAAGCAGUACCGUGAGGGAAAGGUGAAAAGAACCCCGGGAGGGGAGUGAAAUAGAACCUGAAACCGUGUGCCUACAACCGCUCAGAGCCCCUUAUGAGGGUGAUGAGGUGCUUUUUGUAGAACGAGCCAACGAGUUACGGUAUGUAGCAAGGUUAAGUACUUAAGGUACGGAGCCGAAGGGAAACCGAGUCUGAAUAGGGCGACUAGUUGCAUGCCGUAGACCCGAAACCGGGUGACCUAUCCAUGGCCAGGUUGAAGCGAGGGUAAAACCUCGUGGAGGACCGAACCACGUUGCUGUUGAAAAAGCAUGGGAUGAGCUGUGGAUAGCGGAGAAAUUCCAAUCGAACCCGGAGAUAGCUGGUUCUCUCCGAAAUAGCUUUAGGGCUAGCGUCGAGUAUGAGUAGUGGAGGUAGAGCACUGAAUGGGCUAGGGGGCAUAGCGCUUACCGAACCUUAUCAAACUCCGAAUGCCACAUACUUUGAGCUCGGCAGUCAGACUACGAAUGAUAAGAUCCGUGGUCAAAAGGGAAACAGCCCAGAUCGUCAGCUAAGGUCCCAAAGUGUAAGUUAAGUGGGAAAGGAUGUGAGAUUUCUAAGACAACUAGGAUGUUGGCUUAGAAGCAGCCAUUCAUUAAAAGAGUGCGUAAUAGCUCACUAGUCGAGAGAUCUUGCGCCGAAAAUGUAACGGGGCUAAACUUACCACCGAAGCUACGGGCUUGAACUUAGUUCAAGCGGUAGGAGAGCGUCGUAACCGGGCUGAAGUCGUACCGUAAGGAGCGGUGGACUGGUUACGAGUGAGAAUGUUGGCAUCAGUAGCGAGAUGUGGGUGAGAAUCCCACAGGCCGAAAACCUAAGGUUUCCUCAGGAAGGUUCGUCCGCUGAGGGUUAGUCGGGACCUAAGCCGAGGCCGAAAGGCGUAGGUGAUGGACAACUGGUUGAUAUUCCAGUACCACUACCAUCGUUAUUAUCGAUGGCGUGACGCAGGAGGAUAGUGUGUGCUAGCUAUUGGAUGCUAGUCUAAGCGUUUAGGCAGUGAAAGUAGGCAAAUCCGCUUUCAUAAUGCU